rnacentral:rRNA from 1 species
GACGAACGCUGGCGGCGUGCCUAAUACAUGCAAGUAGAACGCACAGUUUAUACCGUAGCUUGCUACACCAUAGACUGUGAGUUGCGAACGGGUGAGUAACGCGUAGGUAACCUGCCUGGUAGCGGUGGAUAACUAUUGGACACGUUAGCUAAUACCUCAUAAUCUUAAUUAUUGCAUGAUAAUUAAUUGAAAGGUGCAAUCGCACCACUACCAGAUGGACCUGCGUUGUAUUAGCUAGUAGGUGAGGUAACGGCGCACCUAAGCGAUGAUACAGAGCCGACCCUGGGAGGGGGACCGCCAACCCGGGACUGGGACCACGCCCAGGCUCCCUCGGGGGGGAGCAGGAGGGGAACCUCGGGAAUGGACGGAAGUCUGACCGGGCCACGCCGCGUGAGUGAAGGAGGGUUUCGGGUCGUAAAACUCUGUUGUUAGGGAAGAACGGGUGUGAGAGUUGAAUGUGCACGCUGUGACGGUAUCUUACCAGAAAGGGACGGCUAACUACGUG